GAUGAACGCCGGCGGCGUGCCUAAUACAUGCAAGUCGAGCGAACAGACGAGGAGCUUGCUCCUCUGACGUUAGCGGCGGACGGGUGAAUAACACGUGGAUAACCUACCUAUAAGACUGGGAUAACUUCGGGAAACCGGAGCUAAUACCGGAUAAUAUAUUGAACCGCAUGGUUCAAUAGUGAAAGACGGUUUUGCUGUCACUUAUAGAUGGAUCCGCGCCGCAUUAGCUAGUUGGUAAGGUAACGGCUUACCAAGGCAACGAUGCGUAGCCGACCUGAGAGGGUGAUCGGCCACACUGGAACUGAGACACGGUCCAGACUCCUACGGGAGGCAGCAGUAGGGAAUCUUCCGCAAUGGGCGAAAGCCUGACGGAGCAACGCCGCGUGAGUGAUGAAGGUCUUCGGAUCGUAAAACUCUGUUAUUAGGGAAGAACAAAUGUGUAAGUAACUAUGCACGUCUUGACGGUACCUAAUCAGAAAGCCACGGCUAACUACGUG
rnacentral:rRNA from 1 species